UGGGGAAUUGUUCACAAUGGGCGCAAGCCUGAUGACGCAACGCCGCGUGGGGGAUGAAGGUCUUCGGAUUGUAAACCCCUGUCGAAUGGGACGAAAGACCCGGGAGCUAAUCAUCCUGGGAGUGACGGUACCGUUAAAGGAAGCCACGGCUAACUCUGUGCCAGCAGCCGCGGUAAU
rnacentral:rRNA from 1 species